GUCCACAGACAUAUAAGAGAAACAGACUGUACACAAAUUACACAAACACUUAGACAGUAAUAAGCAAUAUCUCUAUCUUGUUCUCACUCGUCUGAAUUUCAAAUACAUCUUUCUCUGUCUUUCAAUGUAGUAACACAGACACAUACAUAGACAAAACCAAAAUUGAAGCAAUCCGCCAUGUUGAUAGAUGAUGAUAGAAGACACAUGGCUUCCUAGCAAAAUCGCUUAAGUGAUUUUGUUUCUUAUAAAUAUUGAAUAUUAAUGUGUAAAUUGUGAAAAUAGGACGGAUUAAAUAUGGUAAAGUGCAAUGCCCCACUUUAUAGGAGUGCUACAUAUAAUAAAACACCUGACAUAACAUUUCAUAAAUUUCCAAAUGAUGUCCACUGAAGACAUUCCUGGUUGGCAAAUAUGAAUAUGACAAAUUGGCAGCCCA
rnacentral:misc_RNA from 1 species